rnacentral:rRNA from 1 species
UACAGAGGGUGCAAGCGUUAAUCGGAAUUACUGGGCGUAAAGCGUGCGUAGUCGGUUAUUUAAGUCGGGUGUGAAAGCCCCGGGCUCAACCUGGGAAUUGCAUUCGAUACUGGAUAGCUAGAGUUCGGCAGAGGGAAGCGGAAUUUCCGGUGUAGCGGUGAAAUGCGUAGAUAUCGGAAGGAACAUCAGUGGCGAAAGCGGCUUCCUGGACCAGAACUGACGAUCAGGCACGAAAGCGCGGGGAGCAAACAGG